GCCUCAGUGGUCUAGUAGUAUGAUUCGCCCUUCGGGAGUUAUCCCGUAAGCAACUUGCUUACAAAUGCUUACGUCAGCUGCAUGGGUGAGGUCCUGGGUUCAAUUCCCAGCUGGGGCC